rnacentral:rRNA from 1 species
GCAGCAGCCGCGGGAAUACGAAGGGUGCAAGCGUUACUCGGAAUUACUGGGCGUAAAGCGUGCGUAGGUGGUGGUUUAAGUCCGUUGUGAAAGCCCUGGGCUCAACCUGGGAAUUGCAGUGGAUACUGGGUCACUAGAGUGUGGUAGAGGAUAGUGGAAUUUCCGGUGUAGCAGUGAAAUGCGUAGAGAUCGGAAGGAACAUCUGUGGCGAAGGCGACUAUCUGGGCCAACACUGACACUGAGGCACGAAAGCGUGGGGAGCAAACAGGAUUAGAUACCCGAGUAGUCCCUGUCUCUUAUAC